AUGAGGAAAACAGCCAUCAGCAAAACACCAUCCAAGGACGCACGCACAACCAGAAGCCAGGAGGAGUCAGGACAAUGUGUAGAGACUCCUGCAGUGACACUUUCACUCUGUGUUGCUGUUUUCUGUAGAGUGAAAGCAGGGAGAAGAUGAUCUGCAGGAUCCUGUUGCUCAUCAUCCUCACCUCAUGUGUCUCUGGAUCAUUUGUAGUCAAUGUGACACAGACCUCCUAUCAGGCAGAGGAGAACCACAACAUCACACUGGAGUGGACGUUCACCACCAAACCUGACACCUUCAUCACUUCAGUGAAGGUUCUCUGUGGUAGUCCAAAACUCUGUCCUGUAUCAUGUUCAAGAAGGUGUUGAAGUGUCAGAGUCUCGGGAUGACUGCAGG
ensembl:lncRNA